rnacentral:rRNA from 1 species
UACCUAGUGGCGGACGGGUGAGUAACGCGUAGGUAACCUGCCCUAUAGUGGGGGAUACCCAGCCGAAAGGUUGGCUAAUACCGCAUAAUCUGGAGAGUUGAAAUACUUUUCAGGAAAGAUUCAUCGCUAUUGGAGGGGCCUGCGUUCGAUUAGCUAGUUGGUGAGGUAAUAGCUCACCAAGGCGACGAUCGAUAGCUGGUCUGAGAGGACGAUCAGCCACACUGGAACUGAGACGCGGUCCAGACUCCUACGGGAGGCAGCAGUGGGGAAUUUUCCGCAAUGGGCGAAAGCCUGACGGAGCAACGCCGCGUGGAUGAUGAAGUCUUUCGGGACGUAAAAUCCUUUCAGCAGGGAAGAAGUCAGUGACGGUACCUGCAGAAGAAGCAUCGGCUAACUACGUGCCAGCAGCCGCGGUAAUACGUAGGAUGCAAGCGUUGUCCGGAAUUAUUGGGCGUAAAGCGAACGUAGGCGGCCUUUUAAGUUUGGUCUUAAAGACCGGGGCUCAACCCCGGGAAUGGAUUGAAUACUGGGAGGCUGGAGGAUGUCAGAGGAAGGUGGAAUUCCGAGUGUAGCGGUGAAAUGCGUAGAUAUUCGGAGGAACACCAGUGGCGAAAGCGACCUUCUGGGGCAUUCCUGACGCUGAGGUUCGAAAGCUCGGGGAGCAAACAGGAUUAGAUACCCUGGUAGUCCGAGCCGUAAACGAUGGAUACUAGGUGUAGAGGGUAUCGACCCCCUCUGUGCCGUAGCUAACGCGUUAAGUAUCCCGCCUGGGGAGUACGGUCGCAAGACUGAACUCAAAGGAAUUGACGGGGGCCCGCACAAGCGGUGGAGCAUGUGGUUUAAU